ACUCCUACGGGAGGCAGCAGUGGGGAAUAUUGGACAAUGGGCGAAAGCCUGAUCCAGCCAUGCCGCGUGUGUGAAGAAGGUCUUCGGAUUGUAAAGCACUUUAAGUUGGGAGGAAGGGCAUUAACCUAAUACGUUAGUGUUUUGACGUUACCGACAGAAUAAGCACCGGCUAACUCUGUGCCAGCAGCCGCGGUAAUACAGAGGGUGCAAGCGUUAAUCGGAAUUACUGGGCGUAAAGCGCGCGUAGGUGGUUUGUUAAGUUGGAUGUG
rnacentral:rRNA from 1 species